GACGAACGCUGGCGGCGCGCCUAACACAUGCAAGUCGAACGAGCGAGAGAGAGCUUGCUUUCUCGAGCGAGUGGCGAACGGGUGAGUAACGCGUGAGGAACCUGCCUCAAAGAGGGGGACAACAGUUGGAAACGACUGCUAAUACCGCAUAAGCCUACGACCCGGCAUCGGGUUGAGGGAAAAGGAGCGAUCCGCUUUGAGAUGGCCUCGCGUCCGAUUAGCUGGUUGGUGAGGUAACGGCCCACCAAGGCGACGAUCGGUAGCCGGACUGAGAGGUUGAACGGCCGCAUUGGGACUGAGACACGGCCCAGACUCCUACGGGAGGCAGCAGUGGGGAAUAUUGCACAAUGGGGGAAACCCUGAUGCAGCGACGCCGCGUGGAGGAAGAAGGUCUUCGGAUUGUAAACUCCUGUUGUUGAGGAAGAUAAUGACGGUACUCAACAAGGAAGUGACGGCUAACUACGUGCCAGCAGCCGCGGUAAAACGUAGGUCACAAGCGUUGUCCGGAAUUACUGGGUGUAAAGGGAGCGCAGGCGGGAAGACAAGUUGGAAGUGAAAUCUAUGGGCUCAACCCAUAAACUGCUUUCAAAACUGUUUUUCUUGAGUAGUGCAGAGGUAGGCGGAAUUCCCGGUGUAGCGGUGGAAUGCGUAGAUAUCGGGAGGAACACCAGUGGCGAAGGCGGCCUACUGGGCACCAACUGACGCUGAGGCUCGAAAGUGUGGGUAGCAAACAGG
rnacentral:rRNA from 1 species